rnacentral:rRNA from 2 species
AUGCAGUCGAACGAGCUCUCCUAAUUGAUUUUAUGCUUGCAUAAAUGAUUUUUAGAUUCGGAGCGAGUGGCGAACUGGUGAGUAACACGUGGGUAACCUGCCCCGAAGCGGGGGAUAACAUUUGGAAACAAAUGCUAAUACCGCAUAAUUAGUUGGAACCGCAUGGUUCCAACUUGAAAGAUGGCUCUGCUAUCACUUUGGGAUGGACCCGCGCCGUAUUAGUUAGUUGGUGAGAUAAAAGCCCACCAAGACGAUGAUACGUAGCCGACCUGAGAGGGUAAUCGGCCACAUUGGGACUGAGACACGGCCCAGACUCCUACGGGAGGCAGCAGUAGGGAAUCUUCCACAAUGGACGAAAGUCUGAUGGAGCAACGCCGCGUGAGUGAUGAAGGUUUUCGGAUCGUAAAACUCUGUUGUUAAAGAAGAACAAGUGUUAGAGUAACUGUUAACACUUUGACGGUAUUUAACCAGAAAGCCACGGCUAACUACGUGCCAGCAGCCGCGGUAAUACGUAGGUGGCAAGCGUUGUCCGGAUUUAUUGGGCGUAAAGCGAGCGCAGGCGGUUUUGUAAGUCUGCUGUGAAAGCCCUCAGCUCAACUGAGGAAGUGCAGUGGAAACUACAAAACUUGAGUACAGAAGAGGAAAGUGGAACUCCAUGUGUAGCGGUGAAAUGCGUAGAUAUAUGGAAGAACACCAGUGGCGAAGGCGGCUUUCUGGUCUGUUACUGACGCUGAGGCUCGAAAGCAUGGGUAGCGAACAGGAUUAGAUACCCUGGUAGUCCAUGCCGUAAACGAUGAAUACUAGGUGUUGGAGGGUUUCCGCCCUUCAGUGCCGCAGCUAACGCAUUAAGUAUUCCGCCUGGGGGAGUACGACCGCAAGGUUGAAACUCAAAGGAAUUGACGGGGGCCCGCACAAGUGGUGGAGCAUGUGGUUUAAUUCGAUGCUACGCGAAGAACCUUACCAGCUCUUGACAUCUUCUGCCAACCCAAGAGAUUGGGCGUUCCCUUCGGGGACAGAAUGACAGGUGGUGCAUGGUUGUCGUCAGCUCGUGUCGUGAGAUGUUGGGUUAAGUCCCGCAACGAGCGCAACCCUUAUUAUUAGUUGCCAGCAUUUAGUUGGGCACUCUAGUGAGACUGCCGGUGAUAAACCGGAGGAAGGUGGGGACGACGUCAAAUCAUCAUGCCCCUUAUGAGCUGGGCUACACACGUGCUACAAUGGAUGGUACAACGAGUCGCGAAACCGCGAGGUCAAGCUAAUCUCUUAAAGCCAUUCUCAGUUCGGAUUGCAGGCUGCAACUCGCCUGCAUGAAGUUGGAAUCACUAGUAAUCGUGGAUCA